UCUCCACGCCGAGCGUCGGGUCCGCGCCCGAGAGGCGCGAGAAGGAGAACAUGGGCGCCUUGACGGCAACGAAAUCGUGGUCGAGGAGGUUCAUGACGUGCGGCUUGACGGGCAGGCCCGCGAAGACGCGCGUCGCGAGCGCGAUGAAA
rnacentral:ribozyme from 17 species